AUCUGGCCGGGUUGCUGCCUCCCGAGCUUGCUGGAAGUCUGUCUCCUCCCCGGCGCUGGGGCCGCGGCUCAGCCUGCGGGAUUAGCCAGGCCUCUAGCAGCAACACCAGAAGGUUCCCUCUGCCCUCGUUUGUUUUGAAAUCACUGAAGAGGACAGUUAUGUAAGAAGGCAGAUCCUAGAAGUUCAGGACAGCACGGAAACUUCCUUGUGUAUUUGACUGAAUGGUUUUGGUCUUCAGUACACGGCAGGGAUUCUAAACUGCAAGCCAGCUGCCCUGAACUCGCAUCACCAGAUGAUCGUAUGGUUGAAAUACUGCCAGAGCAUGAACAAAAACUAGCAAAAAUGUGAGUUUCUCUGUACAUUUUCUGGAUGGAUUGAAGAUGAAAAGCAUUGCCCCCACAGAUCCUUCUGGUAA